UGAGAUUUAAGAGCCGCAGUAUCCUGACUGUGCUAAGGUAGCAUAAUCAUUAGUCUUUUAAUUGGAGACUGGUAUGAAUGGUUAAACGAGAAAUCAACUUUUUUUGUUGUAAAGCUUGAAUUUAACUUUUUAGUGAAAAGGCUAAAAUUUUUCAAAAAGACGAGAAGACCCUAUAGAGUUUUAUAAUCAAGGGAAUAUUUCUUUCUUAGAUUUUUAUGAGAGGUAUUUACUGUAGUUAUUUUGUUGGGGCGACAUUUAGAUAUAAAAAACUCUUUAUUUUUAAAACUUUUAUAAAAGGUAAAUUGAUCCUUUAAAAAAGAUCAUAAGAAAAAAUUACCUUAGGGAUAACAGCGUAAUCUUUUUUGAGAGUUCUAAUCGACAAAAAGGUUUGCGACCUCGAUGUUGGACUAAAAUUAAGGCAGGGUGCAGCAGUUCUGCUAUAAGGUCUGUUCGACCUAUAAUUUUUUACACGAUCUGAGUUCAGACCGGCGUAAGCCAGGUUG
rnacentral:rRNA from 1 species